GAGAUAGUAGUAUAAGGGUUUUAUGUAUAUUUUAUUUUCGAUAAAAUGGUUGAGUAUCUUG
rnacentral:tRNA from 2 species